AGAGUUUGAUCCUGGCUCAGGAUGAACGCUGGCGGCGUGCUUAACACAUGCAAGUCGAACGAAGCACUUUAUUACGAUCCCUUCGGGGUGACGAUUUAGUGACUGAGUGGCGGACGGGUGAGUAACGCGUGGGUAACCUGCCUCAUACAGGGGGAUAACAACUGGAAACGGUUGUUAAUACCGCAUAAGCGCACAGUACCACAUGGUACGGUGUGAAAAACUCCGGUGGUAUGAGAUGGACCCGCGUCUGAUUAGCUAGUUGGUGAGGUAACGGCCCACCAAGGCGACGAUCAGUAGCCGACCUGAGAGGGUGACCGGCCACAUUGGGACUGAGACACGGCCCAAACUCCUACGGGAGGCAGCAGUGGGGAAUAUUGCACAAUGGAGGAAACUCUGAUGCAGCGACGCCGCGUGAGCGAAGAAGUAUUUCGGUAUGUAAAGCUCUAUCAGCAGGGAAGAAAAAAUGACGGUACCUGACUAAGAAGCCCCGGCUAACUACGUGCCAGCAGCCGCGGUAAUACGUAGGGGGGCAAGCGUUAUCGGGAUUUACUGGGUGUAAAGGGAGCGCAGGCGGUCUGAUAAUUCUGAUGUGAAAAGCCCGGGGCUCACCCCCGGGGGAUUGCAUUGGAAACUGUCGGAAUGGAGUAUUGCCGGGGGGAGACGG
rnacentral:rRNA from 1 species